CAUCCCCAAGUCAGGCGUGAAUACCUGCUGAGUUUAAGCAUAUCACUAAGCGGAGGAAAAGAAACUUACUAGGAUUCCCCUAGUAACGGCGAGUGAACCGGGAAGAUCCCAACAUGACAAUCGGUGGCUUCACCUUCUGAAUUGUAGUCUGUAGAAGCAUCCUCAGCAAUGAACUGGGCCUAAGUCCCCUAGAAGGUGGCGCUAGAGAGGGUGAGAGCCCCAUUAGGCCCAGACCCUGCACCACCACAAGGCACUGUCAGCGAGUCAGGUUGUUUGGGAAUGCAGCCCUAAUCAGGUGGUAAAUUCUGUCCAAGGCUAAAUAUGGGUGAGAGACCGAUAGCGAACAAGUACCGCGAGGGAAAGACGAAAAGGACUUUGAAAAGAGAGUUAAAGAGUGCUUGAAAUUUCUGGGAGGGAAGGGGAUGGAGGCUGGUGAUGCACCUCGAUCGGAUGCAGAAUGGCGUCAGCCGGUCCGCAACUCAGCUCAGGGGGCAUGCCAGCGUAGGCCAUUGUGGCGGCAUAAGCGCGGCCUUCUGGUCACACUGUACCUCCAUUGCGGAGGUCAAGGAGUGAAGUGCACACCUACCAAGGUGGGCCCUUGGGCACCUGCACGCUCAUGGCGCUAGCCAGCAAGCUUUCCAUCUGACCUAUCUUGAAACACGAACCAAGGAGUCUAACAUGUGUGCGAGUCGGCGGGUUGGGAAACCUGCAAGGUGCAAGGAAGCUGACUGGCGAGAUCCCCUCUUUGGGGGUGCACUGCUAACUGACCCUGAUCUUUUGUGAAGGGUUCGAGUGCGAGCACACCUAUUGGGACCCGAAAGAUGGUGAACUAUGCCUAUGCAGGGUGAAGCCAGAGGAAACUCUGGUAGAGGCCCACAGCAAUACUGACGUGCAAAUCGUUCAUUUGACUUGGGUAUAGGGGCGAAAGACUAAUCGAAUCAUCUAGUAGCUGGUUUCCUCUGAAGUUUCCCUCAAGAUAGCUAGAGCUCAUGUGCGAAUUUUAUUGGGUAAAGCAAAUGAUUAGAGGGAUCGGGGGCGUAACGCCCUCGACCCAUUCUCAAACCUUAAAUAGGUAAGGCGAGGCAACUGCUUCAUUGAGCCAUGCCACGGAAUCAUGAGCUCCAAGUGGGCCAUUUUUGGUAAGCAGAACUAGCAAUGCGGGAUGAACUAAAAGCCGACUUACGGUGCCAAAUUGCGUGCUAACCCAGAUCCCACAAAGGGUGUUGGUUGAUUAAGACAAUAGGAUGGUGGUCAUGGAAGUUGAAAUCUGCUAAGGAGUGUGUAACAACUCACCUGUUGAAUCAACUAGCCCCAAAAAUGGAUGGCGCUGAAGUGUGCAACCUAUACUCGGCCAUUGGGGCAAGUGCCAGGCUCCGAUGAGUAGGAGGACACGGGGGUUGUUGCGAAACCUUGGGCGUGAGCCUGGGUGGACCGGCCCCCGAUGUAGAUCUUGGUGGUAGUAGCAAAUAUUCAAAUGAUAACUUUGAACACUAAAGUGGGGAAAGGUUCCAUGUGAACAACACUUGGACAUGGGUUAGUUGAUCCUAAGAGAUGGGAAAGCCCUGUUUCAAGGGUGCACUUUGCAAGAUCAUCGAAAGGGAAUCGAGUUAAUAUUAUUGAACUGGAGAUAGCUUCCAGCGACUAGAAGAGCACCGCACGUCCCGCGAUGUCUGGUGCACCUUCGGCGGCCCUUGAAAAUCAGGAGGACCAAGUACUGUUCACGCCUGGUCGUACUCAUAACAGCAUCAGGUCUCCAAGGUGAACAACCUCUGGUCAAUAGAACAAUGUAGGUAAGGGAAGUCGGCAAAAUGGAUCUGUAAAUUUGGGAAAAGGAUUGGCUCUGAGGGCUGGGCCUAGGGGUCUGUGCCUUGAACCCGUGGGCUGUUGGCAUGUCGAUCAGGUGACAGACGCAGGGUGCUCCCUUUGGGGGGCUUUCCCUAGGUGGCGAACAAAUAACUCAGAACUGGUACGGACAAGGGGAAUCCGACUAUUUAAUUAAAACAAAGCAUUGCGAUGGUCCCUGUGGAUGCUGAUGCAAUGUGAUUUCUGCCCAGUGCUCUGAAUGUCAAAGUGAAGAAAUUCAACCAAGUGCAGGUAAAUGGUGGGAGUAACUAUGACUCUCUUAAGGUAGCCAAAUGCCUCGUCAUCUAAUUAGUGACAUGCAUGAAUGGAUUAACGAGAUUCCCACUAUCCCUAUCUACUAUCUAGCGAAACCACAGCCAAGGGUACGGGCUUGGUGAAAUCAGCGGGGAAAGAAGACCUUGUUGAGCUUGACUCUAGUCCGACUUUGUGAAAUGACUUGAGAGGUGUAGAAUAAGUGGGAGCCAUUUCAGCACAAGUGAAAUACCACUACUUUUAACAUUAUUUUACUUAUUCUAUGAGGCGAAGAUGGGGCAAUGCUCUAGUUUUUGGCCUUAAGGUGCAUCUAGGUGUGUCGAUCUAAGUAGGAGACAUUGUCAGGUGGGGAGUUUGGCUGGGGCAGCACAUUUGUUAAAAGAUAAUGCAGGUGUCCUAAGAUGAGCUCAACGAGAACAAAAAUCUCAUGUGGAACAAAAGGGUAAAAGCUAAUUUGAUUUUGAUUUUCAGUACGAAUACAAACCGUGAAAGUGUGGCCUAUAGAUCUUUUAGACUUUCAGAAUUUGAAGCUAGAGGUGUCAGAAAAGUUACCAUAGGGAUAACUGGCUUGUGGCAGCCAAGCAUUCAUAGCGACAUUGCUUUUUGAUCCUUUGAUGUCGGCUCUUCCUAUCAUUGUGAAGUAGAAUUCACCAAGUGUUGGAUUGUUCACCCACCAAUAGGGAACGUGAGCUGGGUGUAGACCAUCAUGAGACAGGUUAGUUUUACCCUACUGAUGAUCCGCGCUAAAAUAGUAAUUCAACUUAGUAUGAGAGGAACCAUUGAUUCACACAUUUGGUCAUUGCACUUGGUUGAAAAGCCAGUGGCGCGAAGCUACCACGUGUCAGAUUAUGGCUGAACGCCUCUAAGUCAGAAUCCAUGCUAGAUGUAGCGCAUCUCUCUCUCUGACUGCAUCGCGACCCAUAGUAGGGGUGCUCUUGCACCCCGUGGGGCCUAUGUCAUUGGCUACCUUCGAUCGACGCAACCGCCUAGUCGAAGCAACCUUGGAUAACAAUUUCAAACUGUCGGCAAGAAGAAUCUUUUGCAGACGACUUAAAUAAGUGACGGGGUAUUGUAAGUGGCAGAGUGGCCUUGCUGCCAUGAUCCACUGAGAUUCAGCUCUCUGUCACCUUGAUUCGU